CGAUGGGAAACAGGUUAAUAUUCCUGUACUUGGUGUUACUGCGAAGGGGGGACGGAGAAGGCUAUGUUGGCCGGGCGACGGUUGUCCCGGUUUAAGCGUGUAGGCUGGUUUUCCAGGCAAAUCCGGAAAAUCAAGGCUGAGGCGUGAUGACGAGGCACUACGGUGCUGAAGCAACAAAUGCCCUGCUUCCAGGAAAAGCCUCUAAGCAUCAGGUAACAUCAAAUCGUACCCCAAACCGACACAGGUGGUCAGGUAGAGAAUACCAAGGCGCUUGAGAGAACUCGGGUGAAGGAACUAGGCAAAAUGGUGCCGUAACUUCGGGAGAAGGCACGCUGAUAUGUAGGUGAAGUCCCUUGCGGAUGGAGCUGAAAUCAGUCGAAGAUACCAGCUGGCUGCAACUGUUUAUUAAAAACACAGCACUGUGCAAACACGAAAGUGGACGUAUACGGUGUGACGCCUGCCCGGUGCCGGAAGGUUAAUUGAUGGGGUCAGCGCAAGCGAAGCUCUUGAUCGAAGCCCCGGUAAACGGCGGCCGUAACUAUAACGGUCCUAAGGUAGCGAAAUUCCUUGUCGGGUAAGUUCCGACCUGCACGAAUGGCGUAAUGAUGGCCAGGCUGUCUCCACCCGAGACUCAGUGAAAUUGAACUCGCUGUGAAGAUGCAGUGUACCCGCGGCAAGACGGAAAGACCCCGUGAACCUUUACUAUAGCUUGACACUGAACAUUGAGCCUUGAUGUGUAGGAUAGGUGGGAGGCUUUGAAGUGUGGACGCCAGUCUGCAUGGAGCCGGCCUUGAAAUACCACCCUUUAAUGUUUGAUGUUCUAACGUGGACCCGUGAUCCGGGUUGCGGACAGUGUCUGGUGGGUAGUUUGACUGGGGCGGUCUCCUCCUAAAGAGUAACGGAGGAGCACGAAGGUUGGCUAAUCCUGGUCGGACAUCAGGAGGUUAGUGCAAUGGCAUAAGCCAGCUUGACUGCGAGCGUGACGGCGCGAGCAGGUGCGAAAGCAGGUCAUAGUGAUCCGGUGGUUCUGAAUGGAAGGGCCAUCGCUCAACGGAUAAAAGGUACUCCGGGGAUAACAGGCUGAUACCGCCCAAGAGUUCAUAUCGACGGCGGUGUUUGGCACCUCGAUGUCGGCUCAUCACAUCCUGGGGCUGAAGUAGGUCCCAAGGGUAUGGCUGUUCGCCAUUUAAAGUGGUACGCGAGCUGGGUUUAGAACGUCGUGAGACAGUUCGGUCCCUAUCUGCCGUGGGCGCUGGAGAACUGAGGGGGGCUGCUCCUAGUACGAGAGGACCGGAGUGGACGCAUCACUGGUGUUCGGGUUGUCAUGCCAAUGGCACUGCCCGGUAGCUAAAUGCGGAAGAGAUAAGUGCUGAAAGCAUCUAAGCACGAAACUUGCCCCGAGAUGAGUUCUCCCUGACCCUUUAAGGGUCCUGAAGGAACGUUGAAGACGACGACGUUGAUAGGCCGGGUGUGUAAGCGCAGCGAUGCGUUGAGCUAACCGGUACUAAUGAACCGUGAGGCUUAACCUUACAACGCCGAAG
rnacentral:rRNA from 1 species